rnacentral:rRNA from 1 species
UGCGUAACACGUAUACAACCUACCUAUAACAGGGGGAUAGCCUUUCGAAAGAGAGAUUAAUACCCCGUAAUAAAUUUGAUGGCAUCAUUAGAUUUUGAAAGCUCCGGCGGUUAUAGAUGGGUAUGCGUCUGAUUAGCUAGUUGGUGAGGUAAUGGCUCACCAAGGCGACGAUCAGUAGGGGAUCUGAGAGGACUAACCCCCACACUGGUACUGAGACACGGACCAGACUCC